AUUGAACGCUGGCGGAAUGCUUUACACAUGCAAGUCGAGCGGCAGCACGGGGGCAACCCUGGUGGCGAGCGGCGAACGGGUGAGUAAUACAUCGGAACAUGCCCAGUCGUGGGGGAUAACACUUCGAAAGAAGUGCUAAUACCGCAUACGUCCUGAGGGAGAAAGCGGGGGAUCUUCGGACCUCGCGCGAUUGGAGUGGCCGAUGUCAGAUUAGCUAGUUGGUGGGGUAAAGGCCUACCAAGGCAACGAUCUGUAGCUGGUCUGAGAGGGUGAUCAGCCACACCGGGACUGAGACACGGGCCAGACUCCUAAGGGAGGCAGCAGUGAGGAAUUUUUGACAAUGGGGGCAACCCUGAUCCAGCCAUUCCGCGUGAGUGAAGAAGGCCUUUGGGUUGUAAAGCACUUUAAGCUGGGAGGAAGGGCUGUAAGUUGAUACCUUGCAGUUUUGACGUUACCGACAGAAUAAGCACCGGCUAACUCUGUGCCAGCCGCCGCCGUAAUAC
rnacentral:rRNA from 1 species